AUUACGUCACGUGGUUUGUGAGACGUAUUGUUUCCGUCGGGUACGUAACGGUGGUAACGAUUCUCCAUGGUAACGAUCAUGGAGGAAGGAAAGACUCCUCCAUGGUAGAGUGUACUAGAAAGGUUGUUCUAGUACACUCUACCCAUGGUAUGGUGGCUAGAGGGCCAUACCCAUGGUAACGAUGGAUAAAGUUCCUCCAUGUCGGAAAAUCUAGAAUCGUGGUCCGUGAUCUCGACGCAGACGUUCACGUGUUGAGCCGACGCUAAUAACGUCCUGAUAAUUCGCACCGGUGCGCACUGGCGCUCCUCGGGGCAGCUUUUUGGUUGCCCCAAGGCUGCCCAAGGCGUACCAGAAAAAUCGGCGGAGCGCCGCUUUGCAAUCCCAGCAGGCAUUGCGUGUCGUGCGCGUUGCAGACGACGCGGACUCGACUGGCAGAGCGACAGCAAAGAAACUAGCGCGCCUUAAAUUUUUGGAAGCCGUUUUUUUUUUUACAAGUUCGUCUGAUGACAGCGAUGACGAAGUCUUUAUGAACUUGGCAACCAGUUGAGGCGGUAAUGAAACGCCGAAAGUGCGCAAUAUUGUGGGAGGAGGUGUCAAGUGUUUCAAUGACAGCGACUUACGAAAACACUUUCGAGUGUCCAGGGAGGUGUGCUAUAACAUUAUAGCGGAGUACGAAAACUCUCAGUUCUAUCCAAAGCAAGCUGGACAAGGACGAUGCCCUGAAGAAAGUGCAGAAGAGCAUGUGCUUUCGUUCUUGUGAGGCUGCAUUACCGGCAGAUGACAAAGGCGUGUCCACGGGAGGGGGGACACCGCGCGCGUGAUUCCCUCACCCCCACUGAACCUCUUUGUGUACUAGGAUACUUGGCAUAAAACAAAGUGCGACGACACCUGCCUGCCCGUCAAUGCCGCAACCGAU